rnacentral:hammerhead_ribozyme from 1 species
AUUCAGCCGACAAGUCCCAAAUAGGACGAAAAGCGUGUCCUGGAU